CACAUUUGCACUGGAAUCCAGUUCCAUUCGGGGAACACACUGAGGAGGCAUGAAUAAGAAUCAGUGGGCUGGCAGAACACCUACCCCAGGGCCUAGGAUACCCCAGUGACACUGAGGGCCCUUGACUGAACUAUAUGUGAGACAUCCCCGAGAAUUAAAGAAUUGAUGUCAUGCAUAUUUUAUGGAGGAGUGGGACUGAGUUUCAGCCCAGGAAUGUCACACCACAAACUGGUUAUGGUUGGAGCAUCCCUGAUGAUAAAGUUUGCUGAACUGGGGAAAGUUUGACCAGGAAUUGUAUUUCCAUCUGUUGAGUACCCCAGCUCUUGUCAUGUGUUUUUUUUUACACAGCUGUCCUUGCUCUGUUCACUGCACAGCACGAAUAUAUAGUACAGUGAAUAAGGAACUGGACUUUCAGCUAAAAAUGGUUCUUACAAUGAUUGUAGAACAAGGGGAGUGUCUGUUUAUGUACCAGUCAAUAAUGUGCAGUACAUCAGAGAACUUUUCUUAAGACAAAAAUUCCUCAGAUGUAAUUUAUAAUUACGUUGUUUGUCCCACUGCACAAAGUAAUGAAACAAAUAACCCCUGUAAUACCUCAAAACUAUAUAAAUGUUAUAUCACUUGAUUUUUUUUUAAGCUUAAAUACCUAGACCCUAAAAGAGAUAUACAGUAUGUUUUACAGGUUUUCUCUAAUCCUUUCUCAAAUAACAAUUAAUCAGUUUGCAAAGCACUGUUACCAAAUCUUGUUAAGUCUUGUUGAUCAAAAAUGAUUAUGCAAUUUCAUGUACUAGCUAUUCCUGUUGUGCAGUGAACUAAUGUUACACCUUAAACUAUAUUUUUAAGUGACUGUCAUGUAAGCCCUCACAUGCAAAACACCAAACUUUCAGAAUGUUUCAAGAAAUAUGCCUUACAUUUCAGUGAUGUGUGUAGUUUGUCUGUAUUUUUGUGCUGUCCAAACAUGGGUAUUUUUUACUGUGUCUAGAGGGUAAAAAGCACCAUGUGGAGAAUUAUAGAGGCGAAAAAAUCCUUGUUGACAGGUAUUCUGUCUCGCGGUUUAUACACUGACAGCGUUCCACACUUAAGCCCUCAAAAACGUGGGAGUGGGACAGUGCUAAGCCCCACGCCCCCAAAACCUCCCCACACAUCUGCAGAUCUGCCACGGCAGAAGUGUAGCAAAAAUCACAUGUAAAAAGACAGCCAACUGAGAGGCCUGUCUGAGUCAUAACUGACAACUUGCUUGUAUUUCCAGCUCUUGGAGCAAAAUACUUUGACUUUCUAGCCAUUAAUACCGACGUACGCAUUUAUAGGUUUGUUUACGCAGUCACAGAUAUAUGCAGGCUUUUACAGAUUUGUCUCAUUACACAUUCAAAUCUGAUUACACACUUGGAUUCCGAAUAUACAUUUACAGUUUCUUGUACACAUUUGCAAAUCUCAGUACACAUUUACAAUUUCUGUUACACAUUUAUAAAUUUAAAUUAAAAUCUAAUUAUGCACACUCGGAUUGAGAUAUGGUCACACCACUCUCUAUGCACAUUUGCAGAUAAUUUUGCUACAAUAAUAGCCCCACAGUAGCAUAGCUGGCACCAGCUGGAAUAGUAAUAAUGCAGUUUAAACUUAAUAAUGCUAAAACUGACUUAGGAAAG